GCGGUACUGUUAGCGAGCCUGCGGUGCGCAGCCCUCCCGCUGCCGCCGCCCCGGGCAGCCCGCGCCGGGCAGUCGCGACCGAGCGGCGAGUCGCAAUUGGCGUCUGUGGCUUAGGCGAGAGCAGAGCGUAUCGCGUGUGCAGGCAUACUGAAAGCAAGACUAUGACUAAGCAGGAAUAAAUCAGCCCAGUGUCCUUCCAUCAGUUCAUUUUCUUCAGGCUGAAGAUCCUAUCCUUUUGCUUGAAAGAAGCAAUAGUGCUUGCCUGCUUCUUUUGACAACAAAGAAAUAUUAUCUCAAAACGAAUCAUCUACUCUAUUUUUAUUGGCUACUGCUGUGUUCCACUUUUACAUCAUGAAGAUAUGAUCCUGUAUAGAAGCCCAUUAGGAAUGACGAGAGUCAUCAAAUAAUAACAAGUGGUUUGAUAAAACAAGGAAAUAUAAGCUGCUAAGAAAAAAAAAGGAAGAUGAGAA